rnacentral:tRNA from 1 species
GCCCGCAUAGUUCAGAGGCAGAACGCCAACUUGGUAAGUUGGAAGUCGUGAGUUCAAUUCUCACUGUGGGCU